UUUUUUGGUGGAGUAAUAUUCCAUUGUGUACAUGGGCCACUUCUUCUUUGUGCAUUCCUCUGUAGAAGGACAUUUUCGUUGCUUCCAAGUGUUGGCUAUGUAAAUUUGAUUUACAGUGUUGUGUUCAUUUCUGCUGUACAG